rnacentral:rRNA from 1 species
GGCGGCAGCCUAACAAUGCAAGUCGAACGAAGUAGCAAUACUUAGUGGCAGACGGGUGAGUAACAUGUAGGUAUCUGCCCUUUGGCCUGGAAUAACACGAGGAAACUUGUGCUAAUACCGGAUAAGUCUUUACGGAGAAAGCUUUAUGCACCAUUGGAUGAGCCUGCACUUGAUUAGUUUGUUGGUGGGGUAAUGGCCUACCAAGACUGUGAUCAAUAGCUGAUUUGAGAGGAUGAUCAGCCACAUUGGGACUGAGACACGGCCCAAACUCCUACGGGAGGCAGCAGUGGGGAAUCUUGCACAAUGGAGGAAACUCUGAUGCAGCGAUGCCGCGUGAGUGAAGAAGGCCCUUGGGUUGUAAAGCUCUUUCGUCGGGGAAGAAAAUGACUGUACCCGAAUAAGAAGGUCUGGCUAACUUCGUGCCAGCAGCCGCGGUAAUACGAAGGGACCUAGCGUAGUUCGGAAUUACUGGGCUUAAAGAGUUCGUAGGUGGUUGAAAAAGUUGGUGGUGAAAUCCCAGAGCUUAACUCUGGAACUGCCAUCAAAACUUUUCAGCUAGAGUAUGAUAGAGGAAAGCAGAAUUUCUAGUGUAGAGGUGAAAUUCG